UCCUAGAUGAUUUUCAUUUUUAUGAAGAGCGGCAGAAAGCGAUGCAGGCAAGGAAGUCAAAACAGCAUCAGCGAGUAAGCCUGGUGCCUACUUCAGUGAUUGGAGAUGGUGAACAAAAUCCUGUUUCAGUUUCUAAUGAUUUCACAAAGAAAAUGUCUAAGAGCUUUGCUGAAGCUGUAUCUCUUAAUGAGACCGAAACAAAGUUGUCUAUUUCACAUCUGCCUCAGGGGGCCAUGGGAGCUCAACAUGAAAAACGAAGCUGACAGAAACAGCAUAUCCAGCUAAUUGGAUAGGUAGGAAAUUUAUUUUAGGUGUCUUGAACAGGGAAGUUUGAACUUUAUAUUACCUCUCAUUCUCUGUUUUUGUUUCCAUUUAUUUGAUUUUAUUAUAUUUGAAUUUACAUGGAGAUUAUCUGGAUUGUUUGAUAAGAUUUAUGUAAAUUCAAAUAUAAUAAAAUCAAAU
rnacentral:misc_RNA from 1 species